GAAUGUGCACAUUUACUGUUGGCUCACAAUGCUCCAGUAAAGGUGAAAAAUGCUCAGGGAUGGAGCCCUCUGGCGGAAGCCAUCAGCUAUGGAGACAGACAGAUGAUCACAGCUCUUCUAAGGAAACUCAAGCAGCAAUCUAGGGAGAGUGUUGGAGAAAAACGACCUCGGUUGUUAAAAGCCCUAAAAGAGUUAGGUGACUUUUACCUAGAACUUCACUGGGAUUUUCAAAGCUGGGUGCCUUUGCUUUCCCGAAUUCUGCCUUCUGAUGCCUGUAAAAUAUACAAGCAAGGUAUCAAUAUCAGGCUUGACACAACUCUCAUAGACUUUACUGACAUGAAGUGCCAACGAG
rnacentral:lncRNA from 1 species